GGCCAAAUAGGCCCUAGGUCCAUUCGAACCCCAAGUUGCCUAGUUCCCAACCAAGCAUAUUGGGCAAAACCAUCGAUCUAUCCUAUUCAAACAACUUGACACCACCAACAGCGUGUCUCCGUCUCCGGAUUAUCCACCCGUCCACCGCCGCCAUUACCGCUGCUGCGGCCACCGAUAGAUACUCUCUUCUUCUUCUUCUUCUUAUUAUUAUUAUUAUCCAAUGAAGAAACCCAAAAGUGUUAGUUAUCUUUGAAUCUUUGUGCGUAUUCAUCACAGAAAAAUACAAAGGAUUACCGAAUGGCGAAAUACAAAUUUACACCCGCCGGUGGACCCUUUUCACCGCGGGCGUCCCUAUCCCUGUAAAUCAGCCGACCGGUUUCUUCUCCUCCUCCCCCCUUAUUGUUCUUAUUAUUCAUCCUCUUCUUCUUCCACUGAAGAAACCCAAAAAAUGUUUGUUAACUUUGUGCUUAUUCAUCGGCAAACUACAAAGGAUUAGCAUUACAUUUUGGGCAUGUUUAGAUGCAAUUGCCAUUGGCUUGAUUAGUAAUGUUGUUUGCAAUCAUUUACUUGUCUAUUUAUAUAUUUGCUACGGAAUUUCCUAUACAACUAAAAGAAUAUAUAAUCUCUAUGGUGGUUUCUCCAGUUGAAGAUCUAGCCAAUGGGUCAUUCAUUUUACGUUUUAUGUCUAAAUUUCAUUUUUCGUGUCUGAUAUUUGAUUGAUGCAUUACUCUUUCUUUUUCCAUGCAGCCAAUUAUUGAAUUCCAAAAUGCAGAUAUUUAGUAGAAAUAGCCUCACCUAUUUCUUAGCCUUUGUAUCUAAACUAAAACUCCAAACACAUCGAAGGGUUCGUAAGCAAAUGGAGAAAACUCCCUUUCAUCAUCUAUUGCAUACGCUUGAUGUGAACAAUAAUGAUAAGGCAUUGUUAACUGAGCUUGUACAUAGGUGGGACAUGAAAAGUCAGUCAUUUAUAUUAGCAGAUGUUCAUGUCCCUUUGACACCGACUGAUGUUGCUAUGAUAUUGGGAUUGCCAAACAAAGGCAAAUUUGUUGAUCUGUAUAUUGCACCUAAACUAACCGAUCUGCAUGAAGACUUAUUCAAUGGGGCCAAGUUGGACUGGACCGAUGUGGAAUGAAAGACAUCGGAGUUAUUGACGAAGGAUGAACAAGAGCAUGAUUAUAUUGCAAAUCUCCUAGUGUUGUAUAUCUUGGGCCAGUUUUUAUUUACGAGAACUAGUCGAAUCAUUGAUGCAAAAUGGUUUAGGUUUGCUGAAAACCUACAACAAUUGGGAGAAUAUGAUUGAGCAGAUGCGGUGCAUAGGGAGUUAGUGAAGAGUUUGGAUGAAUUAACAUUCACAAGGAUCAAAGAGCCUGAUUCCAAAUCCGGGUGGUUGUGCGGUUGUUCUAUAGUACUAAUUGGGUGGUUAUUUGAGUACACCACUAUCUAUCCUUGUUCGUCCUAGUUGACAGGUAGUGAAUUUCCUCGGUUAGCAAAGUGGGCAAGUUCCACAUUUAGACGAAAGACAACAUAUGGUGAAAGUGUUGGCAACUUAGAUCAGAGAUCAUUGAAGUAUUGCUGCCAGAAAGUAACAAAGAGAAGGUCUUAGUAGAGGAACGUGAUGGUCAGGACUCUAAUAGGCCGUCUUAUGAAUCACUAUGUUCAAGAAUUGGUGAGUUGGAGGCACAAGUUAAACACUUGUCUAAGGAGAACCAAGAAUUACAUGCAAGGCUUAGAGCUCACAUACACCGGCAUGGUUUAAUGAGUGCGAGAAUCAAGUACGCCCACCUGGUUGCAUGCCCUCCACAUCACAUAGAGCUGAGGCCAAGGAAGAGAUUGUCACUAGAAAAAAAAGAAGAUAUCCAAAGCAACCAUUCAUUAUGACUAUAUGUGUUGAUGGCAAACUGCUUUGGUGCAACUAUCAAGAAAAAAAGAAGACAUCCAAAGCUCAUUUGGAAGAAGUUAAGAGAUUCCUUUAUCGGCCUAUUACAGGUGAAAUUGUAUGGGCAGAUGGAAGCAGCCAUUUAAGUGGGAUACAUCUGUAUUCUUUGAUAAGUGGUGAACAUAUAUAUGAUGAUGUCAUAAAUGCAUGUGGUGCUCUCUUGAUUAAGCGACAUCAACAACAUAACAGUGCUAAUGAGCCAGAUAAAUUUUUCUACGUUGUCUUAUGCUCAGGCAAACUAUUAUAAAGCUCAGCUCGUCCAGUUAGGUAUAGAAGGUGUUUGGAAUGUACAAGUUUGUAAAGAUGCUCCUUCUCAGGGUGGAAAUGGCAACGAGUGUGGUGUAUUUCUGAUGAUGUACAUGGAAUGUUUGUCGCGAGGAAGCAAUGUGGACUUCAAUUUGGAUGACACAAAAGUCUUGUGCUGGGAAAUGGCUGAACAAAUUUUAAAAUCGGAGAUCCCAAUGGGUUGGUGAUACAUGUUUUCAGUUCUCUCUGUGAGGAAAAUUAGUUAUUGCAAUGGUUCUCUCUGUCAAAAACAUUGGUUCCCAAGGCUGUUGUUGAUGAUCCCUACCAUAUGUGAUGGUGCUCUAUGGAAUGUAUCAAAUGAUUUGGAAAGGGAGCUUCAAUUUACCUACAAAACUUGGUUCUUCCCGAUGGAGGUGGAUGCAAAAGCAAUAUCAUACUUUCAGAUGUAGCAUUUGUUUUGAUCUCUCUUAAUGGUGAACAAAGAUCGUGUUCGGUGUUUUUUGGACAGGCAUAUCAUAUCUACUAGGGAUGAUUUGUUGAAUUUAUUUUGCUAAAUUCUUAUGUAUAGUAAUUACUGUAAAUACCAAAAAAAUUGUCAUAAGGACUAAUAUGGUGUUGGUUAAAUAUUUUUGGACGAUGAAAUUUAUUACUCACUUGUAAUGUUUUUGACAAUGGCGUGAUUGUUAAUUCCACAUCAACUAUAAUUCAA